AUGUGUUAUUAUAUUAUUACUAAUGCACUAGAUCUUAUCAAAACUUUGUAGUUAAUCAUGUUUGGAUGAUAGUAGUAUUAGGAUGGAUAAUAUCCUAGGAAGUCUUCAUGUUGUACUUU
rfam:Glycine max cultivar Williams 82 chromosome 13, whole genome shotgun sequence.